CACGGGUCGUUAUGGUGAACAACAGCGGCCUUUCCUUGCGUUCCUCAACACGUCUGCAGCAUGUCUCACACAAAAAUCAGUCAUCCAAUUUAAAUGGCAUUUGUAUGAAGUCACAGACGGGUUACCACACAGGUGGAGCUGAACCGGACCUCCUGGACCAGAGAUGUGGACAUUACCAUGGUGCCACAAAGUUCAUCACAUUGUCUUUGUGAGACUCACACAUUGAUCCCUCUCUGCAUGAGCAAUGCGGAAACCUGAAACGUUUUCUACCAUUACCUCACGGCCCCCAUUCCAUUGCUGAAACUGGGAGGAAAUAGAAUUGGGGAAAUGACCAAUCGAUGUUUGUUUCCGGAAAUCGUUGGCGAAAGGGCGCAUGCGCGAUGCUCCCGCACCUUCCAUGUUGAUUGCUCCUGACGAGAGGACUGUAUGCGUGAAUCCCUGCCUCUGAGGAGUGUUUACUCAGCAGAUGCUUGACCGACCAACACAACAUAACAUUUCUUUGUCGCAGCUCCUUUGAAUAAACAGCAGGUAAAUUCAUAAAAGACCAAGACAAUGUAACAUUUCUUCGGUGCAAAGCCAAAUGUGACCAGCUUCUUCUGACAAACAACAGAGUGCUGUAAAUGAGGUUUUCUGCUGUCAGCGAGAGGAUAUCAACACGAACGGAGAUAAAACCAGAACAGCUGCCGGAAUGUUAUAUCAAGUGAGGAGCUAUUGCUGAAGUCUGAUCUAGUGCAAUAGGGAGGGUGACUUUAAGAUAUUGUUUGAGGUAAUCAUGCGCACACGCGGAAGAAGGCUGCUUUUUGUUUUAUCAUUACAUCGGUGUGUGCUUGGAACGUGAAAUAAAAAGAUGUGCAGAGUGCAGUGUU